ensembl:lncRNA
AGCUAAAACAACAGAGCCAUGAAAAAAAAAAAACAGUCCCCUUUUCUAGGCCUGUCUCCUUGUUCCAGGAGUAGUGAGCAAAGAGACCAAUUAAUAGCAUGGAUGGAAGCCGAAGGACAGACGGUUUGCUUGAGAAGGAAAAUGAACAUUCUCGCUCCUUGAUCUAUGCCAAUUUUGCACGGGGACAGCUGCUGCCACGGGUAAACUCCACUAUAGGUUAGCCGUGCCCCAAGGUGUGUGUCACCGCGGUCCCAGGAUGGCACAGGGACUCUGGUCUCUCCCUCGCUCGCACCGUUGAGCUCUUAUCCUUAAACGAACUUGGUUUUUUGACCAGCUCACUAAUUGUGAUUGAAAACACCAGCUUUCCCAGCAAGGCACAAGCCCUGGAGUUUAGCAGCAGCAAGACAGGCCCUAAUUGCUCCAUUUACAUAAAAGUAGAAACAUACAACUUCUAAAUAUAGAUCUCUGGCACAUCGCGCCUUUUGCAAUUACAGUAAAAUAAGGUACCACAGUUUCCCUCCCGGCUCCUCGAAGCAAGCUGCUCCACCGGGUUCUCCAGGGGCCGCUCCUCCAGGCGAGAACAGAGCCCUGCAAAAGGCUCCAGCGAAGAGACGAGGAGCUUUGUGAAGGACUGCCAAAAGGGGGGAAAAAUCAAGAGCUGCUCUUAAAAGAAGUUGCCCUUGCUGGUGCUCCGGGUAAAAAUAGAGGCGGCCGCUGCGCAAGGCUUGGCCCAGACUCCAGCCCCGCGAGCCGAGCUCGAGCAGCGGCCGCGAUCCGGCGUGAUCCCCGGGAGCUGCCAGCAGGUGUUGCUCAAG